AUUGAACGCUGGCGGCAGGCUUAACACAUGCAAGUCGAGCGAGUGGCGGACGGGUGAGUAAUGUCUGGGAAACUGCCUGAUGGAGGGGGAUAACUACUGGAAACGGUAGCUAAUACCGCAUACCAUCAGAUGUGCCCAGAUGGGAUUAGCUUGUUGGUGGGGUAAUGGCUCACCUAGGCGACUAUCCCUAGCUGGUCUGAGAGGAGGACCAGCCACACUGGAACUGAGACACGGUCCAUACUCCUACGGGAGGCAGCAGUGGGGAAUAUUGCACAAUGGGCGCAAUCCUGAUGCAGCCAUGCCGCGUGUGUGAAGAAGGCCUUCGGGUUGUAAAGCACUUUCAGCGAGGAGGCGUUACUCGCAGAAGAAGCACCGGCUAACUCCGUGCCAGCCGCCGCGGUAAUAA
rnacentral:rRNA from 1 species